GAUGAACGCUGGCGGCGUGCCUAAUACAUGCAAGUCGAGCGAACGGACGAGAAGCUUGCUUCUCUGAUGUUAGCGGCGGACGGGUGAGUAACACGUGGAUAACCUACCUAUAAGACUGGGAUAACUUCGGGAAACCGUAGCUAAUACCGGAUAAUAUUUUGAACCGCAUGGUUCAAAAGUGAAAGACGGUCUUGCUGUCACUUAUAGAUGGAUCCGCGCUGCAUUAGCUAGUUGGUAAGGUAACGGCUUACCAAGGCAACGAUGCAUAGCCGACCUGAGAGGGUGAUCGGCCACACUGGAACUGAGACACGGUCCAGACUCCUACGGGAGGCAGCAGUAGGGAAUCUUCCCCAAUGGGCGAAAGCCUGACGGAGCAACGCCGCGUGAGUGAUGAAGGUCUUCGGAUCGUAAAACUCUGUUAUUAGGGAAGAACAUAUGUGUAAGUAACUGUGCACAUCUUGACGGUACCUAAUCAGAAAGCCACGGCUAACUACGUG
rnacentral:rRNA from 1 species